AUUUUUAUAGUGUAAUCAACAUAUUGUCCUUUCAAGACAAAGCUAAAUAUUUUUAAAAAUA
rnacentral:tRNA from 1 species